rnacentral:rRNA from 1 species
GUAGGUGGCAAGCGUUGUCCGGAAUUACUGGGCGUAAAGCGCGCGCAGGCGGUCCUUUAAGUCUGAUGUGAAAGCCCACGGCUCAACCGUGGAGGGUCAUUGGAAACUGGGGGACUUGAGUACAGAAGAGGAAAGCGGAAUUCCAAGUGUAGCGGUGAAAUGCGUAGAGAUUUGGAGGAACACCAGUGGCGAAGGCGGCUUUCUGGUCUGUAACUGACGCUGAGGCGCGAAAGCGUGGGGAGCAAACAGGGAUUAGAUACCCUGGUAGUCCACGCCGUAAACGAUGAGUGCUAAGUGUUAGGGGGUUUCCCGCCCCUUAGUGCUGCAGCUAACGCAUCAAGCACUCCGCCUGGGGAUACGGCCGCAAGGCUG